UACGGAGGGAGCUAGCGUUGUUCGGAAUUACUGGGCGUAAAGCGCACGUAGGCGGCUUUGUAAGUUAGAGGUGAAAGCCCGGGGCUCAACCCCGGAAUUGCCUUUAAGACUGCAUCGCUUGAAUCCGGGAGAGGUGAGUGGAAGUUCCGAGUGUAGAGGUGAAAUUCGUAGAUAUUCGGAAGAACACCAGUGGCGAAGGCGGCUCACUGGACCGGUAUUGACGCUGAGGUGCGAAAGCGUGGGGAGCAAACAGGA
rnacentral:rRNA from 1 species